AUUGAACGCUGGCGGCAGGCCUAACACAUGCAAGUCGAACGAGUGGCGGACGGGUGAGUAAUGUCUGGGAAACUGCCUGAUGGAGGGGGAUAACUACUGGAAACGGUAGCUAAUACCGCAUACCAUCGGAUGUGCCCAGAUGGGAUUGGCUAGUAGGUGGGGUAACGGCUGACCUAGGCGACGAUCCCUAGCUGGUCUGAGAGGAUGACCAGCCACACUGAAACUGAGGCACGGUCAGGACUCCUACGAGAGGAAGCAGUGGGGAAUAUUGCACAAUGGGCGCAAGCCUGAUGCAGCCAUGCCGCGUGUAUGAAGAGGGCCUUCGGGUUGUAAAGUACUUUCAGCGGGGAGGCGUUACCCGCAGAAGAAGCACCGGCUAACUCCGUGCCAGCAGCCGCGGUAAUUC
rnacentral:rRNA from 1 species